rnacentral:rRNA from 1 species
AAAGAGGGUGAAAGCCCCGUAGACGAAAUGCUAACAACACCUAGGAGGAUCCUGAGUACGGCGGAACACGAGAAAUUCCGUCGGAAUCCGCGGGGACCAUCCCGCAAGGCUAAAUACUCCCUAGUGACCGAUAGUGAACCAGUACCGUGAGGGAAAGGUGAAAAGCACCCCGGAAGGGGAGUGAAAUAGAUCCUGAAACCGUGUGCCUACAACAAGUCAAAGCUCGUUAAUGAGUGAUGGCGUGCCUUUUGUAGAAUGAACCGGCGAGUUACGAUUGCAUGCGAGGUUAAGUCGAAGAGACGGAGCCGCAGCGAAAGCGAGUCUGAAUAGGGCGAAUGAGUAUGUAGUCGUAGACCCGAAACCAUGUGAUCUACCCAUGUCCAGGUUGAAGGUGCGGUAAAACGCACUGGAGGACCGAACCCACGUACGUUGAAAAGUGCGGGGAUGAGGUGUGGGUAGCGGAGAAAUUCCAAACGAACUUGGAGAUAGCUGGUUCUCUCCGAAAUAGCUUUAGGGCUAGCCUCGGAAUUGAGAAUGAUGGAGGUAGAGCACUGUUUGGACUAGGGGCCCAUCUCGGGUUACCGAAUUCAGAUAAACUCCGAAUGCCAUUCAUUUAUAUCCGGGAGUCAGACUGCGAGUGAUAAGAUCCGUAGUCGAAAGGGAAACAGCCCAGACCACCAGCUAAGGUCCCAAAAUAUAUGUUAAGUGGAAAAGGAUGUGGGGUUGCACAGACAACUAGGAUGUUGGCUUAGAAGCAGCCACCAUUUAAAGAGUGCGUAAUAGCUCACUAGUCGAGUGACCCUGCGCCGAAAAUGUACCGGGGCUAAACAUAUUACCGAAGCUGUGGACUACACCAUUAGGUGUAGUGGUAGGAGAGCGUUCUAAGGGCGUUGAAGGUCGAUCGUGAGGACGGCUGGAGCGCUUAGAAGUGAGAAUGCCGGUAUGAGUAGCGAAAGACAGGUGAGAAUCCUGUCCACCGUAUGACUAAGGUUUCCUGGGGAAGGCUCGUCCGCCCAGGGUUAGUCGGGACCUAAGCCGAGGCCGAUAGGCGUAGGCGAUGGACAACAGGUUGAUAUUCCUGUACCAGUUGUUUUUGUUUGAGCAAUGGAGGGACGCAGUAGGCUAAGGAAUGCAUGCGAUUGGAAGUGCAUGUCCAAGCAAUGAGUCUUGAG